ACGGCCAUACCACAUUGAAAACACCGGGUCUGGUCCGAUCACCGAAUUUAAGCAAUGUCGGGCCCGGUCAGUACUUGGGAGGGUGACCACCUGGGAACACCUGGUGCUGUAGGCU
rnacentral:rRNA from 1 species